UACGAAGGGGGCUAGCGUUGUUCGGAUUUACUGGGCGUAAAGCGCGCGUAGGCGGACGUUUAAGUCAGGGGUGAAAUCCCAGGGCUCAACCCUGGAACGGCCUUUGAUACUGGACGUCUGGAGAUCGGGAGAGGUUGGUGGAAUUCCGAGUGUAGAGGUGAAAUUCGUAGAUAUUCGGAGGAACACCAGAAGCGAAGGCGGCCAACUGGCCCGAUACUGACGCUGAGGCACGAAAGCGUGGGGAGCAAACAGG
rnacentral:rRNA from 1 species